UUCUCGAAUUUAAAAGAGCUAUUAAUUUUUCUGUUAUAAGAAUUUUAAAAAUGAAGUUAAAUGCUAAUAUAUCUAGUUUUUCAAGAUAAUUUAAUUAAUCUAUUUUCUAAGGGAUAAGCUUUAGAUAGGAAUAAAAGUUUUUUUAUAACAGUUUUAUUGAUAUAAAAAAAAUAAUUAUUUUUGUAAUAAUGAUUGAAUUAGUAUAAGGUUUUUAAAAGGAAUUCGGCAAAAAUUUUCCGCCUGUUUAUUAAAAACAUGUCUUUUUGAUUAUACUUUAAAGUUUGACCUGCCCACUGAGGCCGCGGUAUAUUGACCGUGCAAAGGUAGCAUAGUAAUUAGUUUUUUAAUUGAAAGCUGGAAUGAAUGGUUGGAUGAGAAAAUAACUGUCUCUUAAAAAUAGAACUUUAUUUUUAAGUUAAAAAGCUUAAAUGAAUUUAAAAGACGAGAAGACCCUAUAGAGUUUGAUUUUGGUUGGGGUGAUUAAAAAAUUAAUUUAACUUUUGAUUAAUAGAUAAAAUUACCUUAGGGAUAACAGAGUAAUUUUCCUUAGAGUUCAAAUCGAAAGGAUAGAUUGCUACCUCGAUGUUGGAUUAAAAUUUAUUUUGGUGUAGAAGCU
rnacentral:rRNA from 1 species